GGUGGGUUGGCUCAGUGGUUAGAGCGCAGUUCUCGUAACCGAAAGGUUGCGGGAUCGAAUCCCGCUAGAGGCUG
rnacentral:tRNA from 1 species